GUGGGUGGUUCACAUUGAAACAGGGGAGAUGAGGCAAGUUCACACACUUUCUAUAAACCCAGUGGAAAUUCUCCUGCUAAGAAAACCUAUAAAUGUCCCAUGCUUGGUCAACUGUGCUGUUAAAGCCUUGUGAAGCUCACCAGAGCAGGGGUAUCCCCUUUGCAGAUACCACUGCUGGAAUGGCCUGCCUCACAAGCUGCAGGUAGGGAUGGGGAGUGACAGGUUAACUGUGAUGCAAUAAAGCUAAACAGUCAAGUGGAUGGAGGUCAGUGUAGAGGCUAAGCCAAGGUUCUUGUUCCUCCAGGAAGUGAGCGAGAAUUCCUGCUAUGACCUGACCAGGGUGAAAAUGAUGAGAUCCUAUAGGCAACACCCCGAAACUUUGUGGAGAAUUACUACUCAUCACCCCCAUCCACUGAGGUCUGUACAAUCAGGGUGAAGGAAUAAGCAUGCUGGCAAUUCCACAUUUCUAGGAAGCACCGUUCCCCGACUCUGCUCUCCUUUCCACCAACCCAUCUCUUCUGUACCCCCAAGCCAUCGGGGAGUAAUUCUGUCUCUCACAGAUGAUAAGCACAACGAUCUCCAAGUGGCUUUCCUGAAUAUCUACCACAACCAGACCCUCAAAACCCUCAUGGCCUGGAGUGGGUGGUGCAAUUCUGCCCCAGGACUCACUAUGUGCUUAAGGUGAAUGGAAAUGUCUUCCUAAACCCUGGUUUCCUGGUGUAGCAGAUACUGACGCCUGAGCAGCCAGCCCUGCCAGACUUCAUCACUGGCUCUAUCACAGAAACAGACUCCCCAUUCUAAGGCAGAUCCAUCCUCAGUAUGUGCCCCUGGACAUGCUCUCCAGAGCCAGGUACCCACCUUACUGCUGCAACCCUGGCUAUGUGCUGUCGGGACAACUGACCCUCAAAGUGCUUUCCAUCGCCGGGAAAAUGCCAGCUGUCCACCUGGAGGAAGUCUGUGGGGCUGUGCCUGCGCCAGCGAGAGAUGGAGCCCACCCCAGUCCCCUCAACACCUUUCUGGUCUUUGGCCGAUCAUACAACCCCUGUGACUUCCACAGUUCAUCCUUCAUCCCUUGUCCAUCCCUCUGAGUAUCAGGAGCUUCUUCAAGUCUGGCCCAACUUUCAGAAAAGCACCACCACUCUGGUGGCAGAUUGAACGAAACCCUUCUCUGCUGGACUCUUUUAACUUACUUCCUCCUCCUGCCUUCCAGCAGGCAUCUCUUAUACUGCAAGGUAGAAUCACCCCAGGCCAUCCCCCACCUCCUUUCUCAUAAAUUUGGUUAUCUCCAAUAAAAGUGCUAUCAGAAAUGCCUUCAU